CCUACGGGAGGCUGCAGUGAGGAAUAUUGGUCAAUGGGCGGAAUGCUGAACCAGCCAAGCCGCGUGAAGGAAGACGGUCCUAUGCGUUGUAAACUUCUUUUGUCGGAGAACAAAACCCGGGACGAGUCCCGGACUGCGUGUAUCCGAAGAAAAAGCAUCGGCUAACUCCGUGCCAGCAGCCGCGGUAAUACGGAGGAUGCGAGCGUUAUCCGGAUUUAUUGGGUUUAAAGGGUGCGUAGGCGGGCUGUUAAGUCAGCGGUAAAAUUGCGGGGCUCAACCCCGGCGAGCCGUUGAAACUGGCAGACUUGAGUUGGCGAGAGGUAUGCGGAAUGCGCGGUGUAGCGGUGAAAUGCAUAGAUAUCGCGCAGAACUCCGAUUGCGAAGGCAGCGUACCGGCGCCAGACUGACGCUGAGGCACGAAAGCGUGGGGAUCGAACAGGAUUAGAUACCCUAGUAGUC
rnacentral:rRNA from 1 species